AUUGAACGCUGGCGGCAUGCCUUACACAUGCAAGUCGAACGGCAGCGGGGGAGAAGCUUGCUUUUCCUGCCGGCGAGUGGCGAACGGGUGAGUAAUACAUCGGAACGUGCCCUGUAGUGGGGGAUAACUAGUCGAAAGAUUAGCUAAUACCGCAUACGACCUGAGGGUGAAAGUGGGGGACCGCAAGGCCUCAUGCUAUAGGAGCGGCCGAUGUCUGAUUAGCUAGUUGGUGGGGUAAAGGCCUACCAGGGCGACGAUCAGUAGCUGGUCUGAGCGGACAAUCAAGCAAACUGUGACUGAGAAACGCCCCAAUCUCCUACGGGAGGCAGCAGUGUGGAUAUUUGGAAAAUGGGACAGACCCUGAUCGAGAAAUGCCGCGUGUGUGAAGACGGCCUUCGGUUUGUAAAGCAGUUUUGUCCGGAAAUAAAGGGCCCUAGUUAAUACCUGGGGUCGAUGACGGUACCGGAAGAAUAAGGACCGGCUAUCUACGUGCCAGCCGCCGCCGUAA
rnacentral:rRNA from 1 species